AAAUACUAUCCUAUGGUUUCGCACGUUUUCAUUUUAGUACCCUAUGCUUUAAAGUGUAUCAAUUUAGUAUCAUUUGGUUUCGCACUUUUUCAAUUUAGUACCCUGUGGUUUUAUUUUUGUCUUUUCGUCGGCUCCUCUGUUAAUAUUUCGUUAAAUUAUAUACAAAAAAUUUCAGAUACCCUAUCUAGGUUUAUAGAAUAUUUACUUUAGUAUCCGUUAGUUUUAACUUUGUCACUGAUUUUUUUUUCCUCCGUUAAUAUUUCGUUAAAUUAUAUACAAAAAAUUUUAGAUACCCUACCUAGGUUUAUCGAAUAUUCACUUUAGUACCCUUUAAUUUUAACUUUGUUGCUGAUUUAACGAAAAAAAUUAGUGAAAUGAAUAAAAAAAGAGAAAAAUAAAACCACAGGGUACUAACUUGAUACUCUUUAAACCACAGUGUACUAAAGUGAGAAAGUGCGAAACCAUAGAGGCUAACUUGAUACACUUUAAACUAUAUGGUACUAAAGUAGAAACGUGUGAAACCACAGGGGGGAAUUUGAAGUUUACGUAAAAUAUUAUUUCUUAGCUGUCCAACGUGACAGUCAAAUAAGCAGUAUAAUGUCAUUUUUGUAUUUUAAAUAUAUUUCUAUUUGGGAAAACUUCAAAAACCCCUCCUGUGGUUUCGUAGUUUCUUACUUUGCCCCCCUGUGGUUUUUUUUUUCUCUUUUUUUAUCAAUUUCAUUAGUUUUUUCUUAAAUCAGUGAUAAAGUUAAAAUUAAAUGGUACUAAAAUAAAUAUUUCAUAAAUCUAGAUGGGUAUCUGAAGUUUUUUGUAUAUAAUUUAAUAAAAUAUUAGCGAAAAAGCUACCGAAAAGAUAAAAACGAAACGACAGGGGGGGGCAAUUUGAUACAUUUUAAACCACAGAGGGGCAAAGUGAGAAACUAUGA
rnacentral:lncRNA from 1 species